CAAGGGGAAGAAGGAAGAUCAGGCAUGGAGGCUGUGGCGGGUUUGAUGAAGGGAUUGAAGCUUUCGGAGGAGUAGAAGAAGGGAGUGAAGAUAUGGAUCGUGCCAAAAAACAAGGGCACAAUGAUGGGAGAGCAAGCCAUGGGGAAGAUCUUCUCGGAAAAACUAGCUCAUCCAGAUGACGUCUCCUUGUUGUUGGGAAGAGUAUGGUGCCCGAUCAAGGGCAUAGAUUGCAAGGAGGUCGGGGGAAAUGUAUUCUUAAUCACAUUCCAUCAAGAAUCAGGGAAGAGGAAGGCAAUUGACAAUGGCCCAUGGAUGUUUGACAAGGAUCUGGUAGUGGUGGAGGAGUAUGACCCAAGGAAGAGGAUAGAGGAUUACGCCUUCAACAACAUCCCAAUCUGGGUCCGUGUGUUCAAUCUCCCGCUAGGUAUGAUGAACUUGGAUUCGGCAGAGGAAAUCGGCAACAUUAUUGGGCAGUUUGUGGAAGCAGAUACUGGCCUAGAUGGGAAUGCUAUUGGGAGGUUCAUGAGGGUAAAAAUCGGGAUGUGUAUCGACAAGCCGCUCAUGAGGGGUUUACCCUGCAGGAUGAUGAGGCUGUUGUGCAGAAGCGCUACAGGGAGAAAAGGAAUGAGGGGGUUGAGGAAGAAGAAGGAGGGUGGUGUAGAUUUGAGUACGAAUUCUUGCCAGACUUUUGCUACACUUGUGGGCGUAUUGGGCAUGGGGAGAAAGACUGCACUACUAAGCUACAAAAAGGAGAUACUAAGCAGUUCGGUAGGUGGCUACGAGUUGAUAUGGGGCAGCGAAGGGGAGGUACGGAUGAUGGCAGUUGGAGGAAUGUGGGGAGGGGUGUAG
rnacentral:rRNA from 1 species